rnacentral:tRNA from 1 species
CACUAGGAAGCUUGCACUAGCAACAGCCCUUUAAGCUGAAGAAGGGGCCCAAUUCCCCCCUUGUGA